AAAGUACUCCCUUCGUUCCAAAUUUCUUGUCUUAGAUUUGUCUAGAUACAGAUGUAUCGAGUCACAUUUUAGUAUUAGAUACAUCCAUAUCUAGACAAAUCUAAGACAAGAAUUUUGGGAUGAAGGGAGUAGUUG
rfam:Triticum aestivum genome assembly, contig: Triticum_aestivum_CS42_TGACv1_scaffold_407158_5BL